UACGGAGGAUGCGAGCGUUAUCCGGAUUUAUUGGGUUUAAAGGGUGCGUAGGCGGACUGUCAAGUCAGCGGUAAAAUUGAGAGGCUCAACCUCUUCCCGCCGUUGAAACUGGGAGCCUUGAGUGCGCGAGAAGUAGGCGGAAUGCGUGGUGUAGCGGUGAAAUGCAUAGAUAUCACGCAGAACUCCGAUUGCGAAGGCAGCCUACCGGCAUCCAACUGACGCUGAGGCACGAAAGCGUGGGGAUCAAACAGG
rnacentral:rRNA from 1 species